UUUUUCGCAAUGGGCGAAAGCCUGCAGGAGCGACGCCGCGUGGAGGAUGAAGGUCNUCNNAUUGUNANCUCCUGCCAUUGGUUNNNNNAGCCAUCGGUUACUUGCCGUCUGGUUUGAUAGUCGCCGAAGAGGAAUGUACCGCUAACUCUGUGCCAGCAUCCGCGGUAAUACAGAUGUCCCAAGCGUUGUUCGUCUUCAUUGGGCGUAAAGGGUGCGUAGGUGGCGAGGUAAGUCUGGUGUGAAAUCCCGGGGCUCAACCCCGGAACUGCACUGGAUACUGCUUUGCUAGAGUACCGGAGAGGGAACUGGAAUUUACGGUGUAGCAGUGAAAUGCGUAGAUAUCGUAAGGAAGACCAGUGGCGAAGGCGAGUUCCUGGACAGUUACUGACACUGAGGCACGAAGGCCAGGGGAGCAAACGGG
rnacentral:rRNA from 1 species